ACAGGUCAGUUGGUAGAGCAUGUGACUCUUAAUCUUGGGGUAAUGGGUUCAAGCCCCAUGUUGGGCA